AACGAACGCUGGCGGCAGGCUUAACACAUGCAAGUCGAACGCCCCGCAAGGGGAGUGGCAGACGGGUGAGUAACACGUGGGAACAUGCCCAAAGGUACGGAAUAUUCUCGGGAAACUGGGAGCAAUACCGUAUGUGCCCGAAAGGGGAAAGAUUUAUCGCCUUUGGAUUGGCCCGCGUUGGAUUAGCUAGUUGGUGGGGUAAAAGCCUACCAAGGCGACGAUCCAUAGCUGGUCUGAGAGGACGACCAGCCACACUGGGACUGAGACACGGCCCAGACUCCUACGGGAGGCAGCAGUGGGGAAUCUUGGACAAUGGGCGCAAGCCUGAUCCAGCCAUGCCGCGUGAGUGAUGAAGGCCUCGGUUGUAAG
rnacentral:rRNA from 1 species